rnacentral:rRNA from 1 species
AACGGAGGGUGCAAGCGUUGUUCGGAAUUACUGGGCGUAAAGCGCGUGCAGGUGGUCUUUUAAGUUUCGUGUGAAAUCCCACGGCUUAACCGUGGAACGGCACGGAAAACUGAAAGGCUUGAGUACGGGAGAAGAGGGCGGAAUUCCCAGUGUAGAGGUGAAAUUCGUAGAUAUUGGGAGGAACACCGGCGGCGAAAGCGGCUCUCUAGACCGAUACUGACGCUCAUACGCGAGAGCGUGGGUAGCAAACAGG